GGAAUAUUGGUCAAUGGGCGGAAGCCUGAUCCAGCCAUGCCGCGUGCAGGAUAAGGUCCUAUGGAUUGUAAACUGCUUUUGUACGGGAGCAAUAAGGUCCACGUGUGGGUCGAUGAGAGUACCGUACGAAUAAGCAUCGGCUAACUCCGUGCCAGCAGCCGCGGUAAUACGGAGGAUGCGAGCGUUAUCCGGAUUCAUUGGGUUUAAAGGGUGCGUAGGCGGCGUGCCAAGUCAGGGGUGAAAGGUUCCGGCUCAACUGGGACAGUGCCUUUGAUACUGGUGUGCUGGAGUGCGCUUGCCGUGGGAGGAAUGAGUGGUGUAGCGGUGAAAUGCUUAGAUAUCACUCAGAACACCGAUUGCGAAGGCAUCUCACGAAGGCGUAACUGACGCUGAGGCACGAAAGCGUGGGGAUCAAACA
rnacentral:rRNA from 1 species